UACGUAGGGUGCAGGCGUUUAAUCGGAAUUACUGGGCGUAAAGCGCACGUAGGCGGCUUUGUAAGUUAGAGGUGAAAGCCCAGAGCUCAACUCUGGAACUGCCUUUAAGACUGCAUCGCUUGAAUCAUGGAGAGGUCAGUGGAAUUCCGAGUGUAGAGGUGAAAUUCGUAGAUAUUCGGAAGAACACCAGUGGCGAAGGCGACUGACUGGACAUGUAUUGACGCUGAGGUGCGAAAGCGUGGGGAGCAAACAGG
rnacentral:rRNA from 1 species